rnacentral:rRNA from 1 species
UACGUAGGGGGCUAGCGUUGUCCGGAAUCAUUGGGCGUAAAGCGCGUGUAGGCGGUCCGGUAAGUCCGCUGUGAAAGUCGGGGGCUCAACCCUCGAAUGCCGGUGGAUACUGUCGGGCUAGAGUGCGGAAGAGGCGAGUGGAAUUCCUGGUGUAGCGGUGAAAUGCGCAGAUAUCAGGAAGAACACCGAUGGCGAAGGCAGCUCUCUGGGACGGUACUGACGCUGAGACGCGAAAGCGUGGGGAGCGAACAGG